GACGAACGCUGGCGGCGUGCUUAACACAUGCAAGUCGAACGGAAAGGCCCCUUUGGGGGUACUCGAGUGGCGAACGGGUGAGUAACACGUGAGUAACCUGCCCUUGACUUCGGGAUAACUUCAGGAAACUGGGGCUAAUACCGGAUAGGAAUCCUUGCUGCAUGGUGGGGGUUGGAAAGCUUCGGCGGUUUUGGAUGGACUCGCGGCUUAUCAGCUUGUUGGUGGGGUAGUGGCUUACCAAGGCUUUGACGGGUAGCCGGCCUGAGAGGGCGACCGGCCACAUUGGGACUGGGAUACGGCCCAGACUCCUAAGGGGGGCAGCAGUGGGGAAUAUUGCACAAUGGGCGGAAGCCUGAUGCAGCAACGCCGCGUGCGGGAUGACGGCCUUCGGGUUGUAAACCGCUUUCAGCAGGGGCGAAGCUUGUGGUGACGGUACCUGCAGAAGAAGCACCGGCUAACUACGUG
rnacentral:rRNA from 1 species